CCCCAUAUUAUAAGUCAACGCUUGACAUUUGAAGAGUUUGGUACCAACCACUAUUCCACAUCAACUUCCAAGAUCCACAAGCUCUUUCAUUCUGCCUCCAAAAAUACUGUUUAAAUGAUAAUCAAAUUUUUGUGUCGCAUUCCUUUUCUUUCCUAUGCCACCACUCCAAGAUCUUCAAUAUUUUUUAGCUCAAAACGUCACUUCUUCUCCAGCCGUAAUGCAACACUCACUAUCUGCAAAAAUGAAGGCUUCUUUAAAAGACCAUUUUACUUACAUACAAUGUCCUCAAUGAGUUGCUCUGCAACACCAGCAAUGGCAAGGGAGAAGGAAAUGGAAGUAGAAGUUGAUGGAAUAUUAGCUGCAAAAGAGGAUGCACAUGGUGGGGUGACUGUGGAAAUGACUAAUGAGCCCUUGGACCCUUCUGUCUUUGGUUCUUUGCUUAGAGCCUCACUUUCUCAUUGGAGACAACAGG